GCCAUUCCCUUCUCCAGGGAAUCUUCCUGACCCAGGGAUUGAACCCAGGUCUCCUGCAUUGCAGGCAGAUUCUUCACUGUCUGAGCUGCCAGGGAAGCCUCUUUAUCGCAGUGUUUAUGGUAAUCUACCAACGGAACUCUGUCCUGAGCUCCAAGGCGUGCUUGUGCCACUGAUUAAGCUGUGUGACCUGAACGAGUCACCGUCAUUUUCUCUUCUGUAAAUUGGACUGUCAUUGUGUUUUCUCCUUCAGGAAGGCUGUGAGGUUCACGUGUGCAAUAGUGAGGUUCACGUGUGCAAUAGUGAGGUUCACGUGUGCAAUAGGCACAGAUGUGCCCUUUGAAUUCUGUAGUUCCAAGUACAUUGAAGGCGUCUUGUUAGAAAAGAUCCUUCUAAAUGUACUGUUUACCUGAUACCAGCUAUCAGUUUUGCCCUAAGUUUGCAUUUAUCAAAAUGCCAUAAAUUUAUGCAGUUAGCCAAAUAAUAAAUCUACUUGGAUGAAAAUAAAUAGUUUGAGGUUUUGUUUGUUUUGCUUUCAAGUCAGAUCAAGAAGUGCAAAUGUCUCUUUGAAGGAAUAUAGGUUAGAUUUUUGUCAUUUCAAAAAUGUUGUAUUUAACUUUGUUUUAUGCAAGAUUCAUAUACAACUUGCCGAAAGUAAUAUUUGCAUGGACCUUGCUAACGUGUUUAUUAGCAUACUUGUAAUCAUGGUAUUUCACCUUUUUCCUCUGGAUUAAUUGGUUAAAUUAAUUGAGAAAUGUGUUGUAUUUUCUGUUAAAUAAAAAUUUUGCAAAGAAAA